GUUAAAGAAUUCAGUGGGAAAAACAGUCUUUGUUAACUUCUCAAUCCUUAUUACAGGCACAUAGUGCAUACCAUGGUAUAGGAAUUGUAAAGUUGAUGGGUCGUAGCAGUGGAUUUAUUGCUAUGCAUGCAUCCCUGGCUAGUGGACAAAUCGAUAUAUGCUUGAUACCAGAGGUACCUUUCCAUUUACAUGGUCCUCAAGGUGUUUUGCGGCAUCUGAAAUACCUCAUUGAGACAAAAGGAUUAGCAGUGGUCUGUGUUGCUGAGGGAGCAGGGCAGAAACUGUGAAGCUAUAUGAAACAGUUGGAAUGGGAAAUGGAGAGAACGAGCCAAAGCAAGAGUGAGAGUUGGAGGAUGUUAUAGUAGACAGUACUCUCCAAGUUUCUUGUUAUAGUAACUUUUUUUUUUUUUUAUCAAGAAAAGAGAUUUUAUUGAUCAUAGCACAAUACAACCAAACAAUCCAACAGACAA